AUUGAACGCUGGCGGCAGGCCUAACACAUGCAAGUCGAGCGAGCGGCGGACGGGUGAGUAAUGUCUGGGAAACCGCCUGAUGGAGGGGGAUAACUACUUGAAACGGUAGCUAAUACCGCAUACCAUCAGAUUUGCCCAGAUGGGAUUAUCUAGUGGGUGGGGUAACGGCUUACCUAGGCAACGAGCCCUAGCUGGUCUGAGAGGAUGACCAGCCACACUGGAACUGAGACACGGUCCAGACCCCUACGGGAGGCAGCAGAGGGGAAUAUUGCACAAUGGGCGCAAGCCUGAUGCGGCCAUGCCGCGUGUGUGAAGAAGGCCUUCGGGUUGUAAAGCACUUUCAGCGGGGAGGCGUUACCCGCAGAAGAAGCACCGGCUAACUCCGUGCCAGCAGCCGCGGUAAUUC
rnacentral:rRNA from 1 species